GGUUCACGAAAGAGGGGAAAAAAAGUGUUUGAAGCUUUAUGAUGGGUCUUAUUCAAGCUCAUGUAAUCAGCUCUUGUUCAUAUCAAUGUACAUUCAGUUUCAAGCAUCCUUCACCGAUUUGGAAGAGAUCAAAUCCAAAAAAUUUAACAUGACAGUUGCAAAGCUUUAAUUGGAACAGCAUCCAGUCAGCAUCAAAGACUUGCUGCAAUUGUGAAACAAUGGCAGGUGUGUAAGUCCCGAAGCUAACACUGGCUGUCACAUAAAAGUAAUCCCACACAAGAUUGCUUGUGGCAACAUGGGCUCGAACAUCACUAACAACAUACUUUCCGUGUUGACCCUUGUAAAACCAGGAUAGAUGUUUCCUGUGCUAGUUCCAUUUGGAAAUUUGGCAGGUCCUGUCAAGUUGAAACCAGGAACCUUAUAGUACUUGAUCUCAACUUUGCCUGCACAGUCAUUGUACUUUGAAGAAGAGCAGAGAACGUUAGAGUUGAGGAGAGACUUCAAGUAUUGAUCUGCAUUGCUGAUAGAAUAUUUCCAGUAUGCUACCAAUAACUUCACUGUUGCUUGCUUAGAGAAGACUACCUGACAAUAAUAACUUUGUAAGAAUAUGAAACUUUGAUACAUGGAAGGAUACUUAUUAGAGGAGUAUACACCCUGUAGCACAUUGGCUAAUGUUAAUUUGCAAACUAAUUGUUUAUGAAAAGAAAAUAUGUAUGGCAAAAAUAUAAAGCAAUGACAGUGGAAGUUACCUCUGAUAUUGCAGAGGAAAUGGA